rnacentral:rRNA from 1 species
UAAGCCGGAUGUGAAAUCGUGUGGCUCAACCACACAAUUGUGUCCGGAACUGAAGAACUAGAGCAUAUGAGAGGUAGCUGGAAUUCCUGGUGUAGGAGUGAAAUCCGUAGAUAUCAGGAGGAACACCGAUGGCGUAGGCAGGCUACUGGCAUAUUGCUGACGCUGAGGCACGAAAGCGUGGGAGCGAACGGGAUUAGAUACCCCGGUAGGCCACGCCGUAAACGAUGAAUGCUA